AAAGGAAGAAGAUCUAAGAAUGCUUCUUUAAGAAGCUUUCUUGAUGGAGGGGAGUGGCAGACGGGUGAGUAACGCGUGGGAACAUACCCUUUUCUACGGAAUAGCUCUGGGAAACUGGAAUUAAUACCGUAUACGCCCUACGGGGGAAAGAUUUAUCGGGGAAGGAUUGGCCCGCGUUGGAUUAGCUAGUUGGGGGGGUAAAGGCCUACCAAGGCGACGAUCCAUAGCUGGUCUGAGAGGAUGAUCAGCCACAUUGGGACUGAGACACGGCCCAAACUCCUACGGGAGGCAGCAGUGGGGAAUAUUGGACAAUGGGCGCAAGCCUGAUCCAGCCAUGCCGCGUGAGUGAUGAAGGCCUUAGGGUUGUAAAGUUCUUUCACCGAUGAAGAUAAUGACGGUAGUCGGAGAAGAAGCCCCGGCUAACUUCGUGCCAGCCGCCGCCGUAA
rnacentral:rRNA from 1 species